rnacentral:rRNA from 1 species
UACGUAGGGCGCAAGCGUUAUCCGGAAUUAUUGGGCGUAAAGAGCUCGUAGGCGGCUUGUUGCGUCAGCUGUGAAAACCCGCAGCUCAACUGUGGGCUUGCAGCUGAUACGGGCAGGCUUGAGUUCGGUAGGGGAGACUGGAAUUCCUGGUGUAGCGGUGAAAUGCGUAGAUAUCGGGAGGAACACCUGUGGCGAAGGCGGCCCCCUGGUUGGAUACUGACGCUGAGACGCGAAAGCGUGGGGAGCAAACAGG